rnacentral:rRNA from 1 species
UACGGAGGGUGCAAGCGUUAUCCGGAUUCACUGGGUUUAAAGGGUGCGUAGGUGGGCCUGUAAGUCCGUGGUGAAAUCUCCGAGCUUAACUUGGAAACUGCCAUGGAUACUAUAGGUCUUGAAUACUGUGGAGGUCAGCGGAAUAUGUCAUGUAGCGGUGAAAUGCUUAGAUAUGACAUAGAACACCAAUUGCGAAGGCAGCUGGCUACACAAAUAUUGACACUGAGGCACGAAAGCGUGGGGAUCAAACAGG